CCGGCACGGGUGAGUAACACGUAUCCAACCUGCCGUCUACUCUUGGCCAGCCUUCUGAAAGGAAGAUUAAUCCAGGAUGGCAUCAUGAGUUCACAUGUCCGCAUGAUUAAAGGUAUUUUUCGGUUAUCGAUGGGGAUGCGUUCCAUUAGUUUGUUGGCGGGGUAACGGCCCACCAAGACUACGAUGGAUAGGGGUUCUGAGAGGAAGGUCCCCCACAUUGGAACUGAGACACGGUCCAA
rnacentral:rRNA from 1 species